GGAAAAUAUUUUGUCCAAAUAGGCGACGUCCAAAUACACCCGUAGCCCAAACGGGCAAAACCACAUGGACACUGGGCGGCCCAAAUCUUAAAAAUAUCUAGGGUUAACAUAUUUGGGGAAAAAUUAUAAUCAAAAUCAUAAUCGAGAGAAAUCGAUUUUGAGCUUCUUCACUUCAUCUUCUUCACUCUUGUAACUCAAGCUUCUUCACUUUAUCCUCUUCCGUUUUUUCACUUCAUCUUCUUCUCUAUCUAGCCGGUUUGUUUCAGGCUUCAAGAUUUGGAACCAAAUAAGAGCUCGAACUCACUACUCCCAGUCCCAGUCUAUCCUCUCUAAUUUAAAGUGACUCAUCACUCUCUUCCACUGUUUAGCUUUCGUUUAUGUGACUGUAUGUUCUGAUAUUGAGUUUGAUAUUGGUGGCUGUGAAAUAAGGAAUGAAAUGAUUUUUAUUGUGUAUUAUGUGCAAUUGUUUGAUUAAUAUCUUUUGUGACUGUAAUGGUUGUCUUUAAUCUCUUUUGUUCAGAUGAAUGAGGAUAUUUUAACCUAAAUGAUGAUGCCUAUUUGAGUGCUGAUGAGAUGAUGGAUCAGAACGAAGAUGAUCAUGAUCCUGAUUCUGUACAAGAUGAUUCUACAAAUGUGGUUGAGAGUAGAGGUAAAAAUCGAAGGCAUUCAAAGUGUUGGAAGCAUUUUGACAUUAUAGGAGAUAAAUUUUCUGAUGGUACUACUAAAGUUGUGUGCUCAUUUGUUUGUGAUGAUUUUGCUUACAUGUUUAUGCUCAUGUUAGGUGAUUCUAAAGAAGAAAGUGGAAUAAAGAAGAUAAAGAAGUGAGAUUAAGUGAAGAAAUGAAGCAUGAAAGUUUAAGUACCUUUUGUAAAACAUGGAGUUUAAGUUUAAGUUUAAGAUUUUAAGUAUCUUUUGUAAACUAUGAGAGUUUAAGUUUAAGUACCUUUUGUAAAACAUGGAGUUUAAUCUUAGGUUUAAGUUUAAGUUUAAAACUUUAAGUAUUUUUUGUAAACUAUGGAGUUUAAGUAAGUUUAAGAUGUUAUAUAUGAAAUUUAGAAUUUGUACAUCUUUUAAAUUGAAAAUUAUAUUUUUUACAUUAAGUGGACGUCUGGACCCCAUAGGUAGUCUAACUGGUCAUGGUUCUAUUUGGUUAUGGUCCUAUUUGGACAUGAUCCUAUUUGAGAUUCGACCAAAAACGUCUAGAAAAAAAACUAAGUUCAUCUGGACAUGCCCAAAUCCACCCAGCCCGUCCAGUUGACAUCUCUAAAGACGAAGUCACGAAGGGACGAAGAGAAGUUUUUGUCUGAAUUUUUGGGCCGAUAAUAGGGUCUCUGUUAAGAAAACAAUAAUUAAACUAAAUACAGGCUUUUAAAGGGCUUUUUUCAAAAUCAACCUAAAAUUUGGAGUCAAUUCCAAAACCAACCUCUUUUUUUUUGUCAUUACUAUUCAUCCUUGAAAGUUCCAAAUCCUCCUUAUGUUUUUCAAUUAUUUACCAAAGUGCCAUUAUUAAAUAAUUAUUUAAUAAUUUUGAAAAUGAGAAAAAACCUAUUACACCCUAAACAUUUCUUCUUAUUUACAACAAUACCAUUAUCAUCAAUUUUCCAACCACCAUAAACCACCAUUUUUGAGCUCUUAAAACCUCAAGAAUUCAAUUUGUAACCACUUUUUUCUCUUUCUAAACUAACAAAUCUUCAUUUUCUCUCAUUUCCUCUUCAUUUUCAUCUGAAAAUCUUUCAUAACUUCCAUUUUUGUAAUCUAAACUUUCAUAUUUUCGAGUUUAUUCAGUGGUUAGUCGAAAAAGGUGGUUCUUUUUGGUCAUAUUUGGAGCUUGGACGGUGGUAAAUGGUGGAAACGAGCUUUACACAAAAAAAAAGAUAACUAUUUACUGGGUUUUUGUCAUUUUUCAUAUCUGUGUCGCGAUAGUAGACUGUUUUGUAUGUCUACUCUUAUGUGUAGACGUACGAUGCGAUCUAUUGUUCAACGCACAGGUUACUUUUGCAAUUGACCAAAAUAAUUUUUUUUGUAUAGUAGACUUCCUUAGAAGUCUGCAUCUUAACCUUUGAAAACAAAAACAAAAAAGUAGGUAGACUUACUAAGAAGUUUACGUAAAGAGGUUAGUUUUUGCAUUUGGCCAAACUCUAUGCAACUUUUGACUUUUCAUAGUAGACUUCACGAGAAGUCUACAUUAUGUAGACUGCUAUGAAAGUCUACAAAAAGUCAAUUUUGCAUUUGACCAAAACUUUAACUCCGUUGAAUAGGUUAGUUUUGUAUUUGACUAAAAGAUUAUAUAGUUGACCGAAUCAAAAAAUAGUGUAGACUUCAUAUUCAGUCUACUAUUCUCAGGAAAAAAAAACGUAGAUUGCAUAUGAAGUCUACUUUUUUAUUUUGGUCAAAUGCAAAACUAACCUUUCGAAUUUGGGGUAGACUUCAGUUGAAGUCUACACAUGUGUAGACGUUCAUAUCAAUCUAUUUGUACAAAGUCAAAUUUGGUCAAUUGCAAAAACUAACCUGUUUUAAAAAAUUAAAAAAUGUAGACUGUAAAUGAAGUCUCCUUUGGAAAAUCAAAUUCUGGUUGAAUUCUGGUCAAUUGCAAAAACUAACUUUUUCAAAAUGUAGACUGAAAAUAAAGUCUACUCAUAUAAAAUCAUAACUUUUUUUUUAAAUACAAAUGAUAACCCAUGGAUUUUUCAAUUGCAAAAACUAACCCUAAUUAUAGACUAACUUGACAGUCUACAAACGUAAACUGAAAAAACAGUCUAUUAUUAUGUAGACGGAUUAUAAAGUCUACAUAGAAAAAUCUAUAAAAGAUGGAUUUGUGUAUUAUUCGUAAUGUAUUUUCAAGAUUUUUUAGUUUGACAGUGUGCGUUAGUUAAUCUUAAUGGUCUUGAGGUAUUUUGAAAAUAUAAUCUUUUAUAAUUAUUAAAUUACCAACAUUUUGAUUUUACUAUCUAGUUAGCUAAUAAGUGUAGAUGUCUUUAUAAGUCUACUUUAUAAUUUCAAAAGUGAAAAGAGAAUACUUGUUGUGGUUGAAGAAUGUUAGUUUAUGGAAGAGUGAUAUGUAAGAUCAUUUCUACGUACCUUGAGAAAAAAAUCAGAAAUAUUAGAAUGGGACUCUCUUAUGUUGAUUAUUAGUAUUUAUGUGUUUUUAUUUACUCCUUACCGCACAUAAUUUUACAAUAGAGAUAGACAAGUGUGAAACUUAUAAACUUAUAUUGAAUUUGUGGUCUUGAGUCAGUAUUAUGUGCCAUGUUUUAUUGCUUUUAAGUUGUGUUACGUGAUGACAUUUUGUUGAACUGUGAGUCUUAACUUUGAUGUAUUCAUUUGGAGUUGUAUUAAACAAGUCUACUUUCGGUCGAGUACACUUCAGUACAGAAUAUCCAAGAAAAUUACAUAAUACAGCAGUGAUACAAAAGCACAAUACAAUAUAGCUAGUACAAAGGCAUAUAAUACAAACACCUAUUACCAAAAACUUCAUAUCCUCCAAUUCUAGCCAAAAAAUGGUUGCACAAUCAGGGCAGUUGAAGCGGCCACAAAGAGUGCAAUCAACGAUAGAACAUAGACUUGGCCAAUGAAUGUGGCCAUGGCUUAAAAUACAAGAACUCCAUA